GACGUGACUUCAGAGUUUGAUCCUGGCUCAGGAUGAACGCUAGCGGCAGGCUUAACACAUGCAAGUCGAGGGGCAGCAUGAGACGGAGAUUCGUCGAAGUCUUGAUGGCGACCGGCGCAAGGGUGCGUAACGCGUGAGCAACUUGCCCGUUUCUGGGGAAUAACCGGUGGAAACGCCGACUAAUACCCCAUAGUAUAGACGAAAGGCAUCUUUUGUUUAUCAAAGAAUUUCGGAAACGGAUAGGCUCGCGUGACAUUAGCUAGAUGGCGGGGUAACGGCCCACCAUGGCGACGAUGUCUAGGGGUUCUGAGAGGAAGGUCCCCCACACUGGAACUGAGACACGGUCCAG
rnacentral:rRNA from 1 species